rnacentral:rRNA from 1 species
AGACCCGAAACCCGGUGAUCUAGCCAUGGGCAGGUUGAAGGUUGGGUAACACUAACUGGAGGACCGAACCGACUAAUGUUGAAAAAUUAGCGGAUGACUUGUGGCUGGGGGUGAAAGGCCAAUCAAACCGGGAGAUAGCUGGUUCUCCCCGAAAGCUAUUUAGGUAGCGCCUCGUGAAUUCAUCUCCGGGGGUAGAGCACUGUUUCGGCAAGGGGGUCAUCCCGACUUACCAACCCGAUGCAAACUGCGAAUACCGGAGAAUGUUAUCACGGGAGACACACGGCGGGUGCUAACGUCCGUCGUGAAGAGGGAAACAACCCAGACCGCCAGCUAAGGUCCCAAAGUCAUGGUUAAGUGGGAAACGAUGUGGGAAGGCCCAGACAGCCAGGAUGUUGGCUUAGAAGCAGCCAUCAUUUAAAGAAAGCGUAAUAGCUCACUGGUCGAGUCGGCCUGCGCGGAAGAUGUAACGGGGCUAAACCAUGCACCGAAGCUGCGGCAGCGACACUGUGUGUUGUUGGGUAGGGGAGCGUUCUGUAAGCCUGUGAAGGUGUACUGUAAGGUAUGCUGGAGGUAUCAGAAGUGCGAAUGCUGACAUAAGUAACGAUAAAGCGGGUGAAAAGCCCGCUC